UUGCUCAGUUCAUAACACAAAUACUAAAACUGGAACAAUAGAGAAAAUUAGCAUGGCUGCUUGUGUAAGAAUGACACUCAAAUUCAUGAAAUGUUGCAUAUUUUU